rnacentral:rRNA from 1 species
GACGAACGCUGGCGGCGUGCUUAACACAUGCAAGUCGAACGGAAAGGCCCUGCUUUUGUGGGGUGCUCGAGUGGCGAACGGGUGAGUAACACGUGAGUAACCUGCCCUUGACUUUGGGAUAACUUCAGGAAACUGGGGCUAAUACCGGAUAGGAGCUCCUGCUGCAUGGUGGUGGUUGGAAAGUUUCGGCGGCUGGGGAUGGACUCGCGGCUUAUCCGCUUGUUGGUGGGGUAGUGGCUUACCAAGGCUUUGACGGGUAGCCGGCCUGAGAGGGUGACCGGCGACAUUGGGACUGAGAUACGGCCCAGACUCCUACGGGAGGCAGCAGUGGGGAAUAUUGCACAAUGGGCGGAAGCCUGAUGCAGCAACGCCGCGUGCGGGAUGCCGGCCUUCGGGUUGUAAACCGAUUUCGCCUGUGACGAAGCGUGAGUGACGGUAAUGGGUAAAGAAGCACCGGCUAACUACGUG